GCCAAAUAAAUACGUGUGGAGCGCUGAUGUUACACAAGCUGCAUUUCUUCAAGAAGCCAUAUGCCACUUGUUUCUAAAUGUGCUAAUAUGGUGUGGGUGACAGGCUACUCACUUACGUGAGGUAUGCUAAAUGUGUAUCUGGCAGGAAAUGCUGGUAUUAUAAUGGUUUGUUUUUUUUUUUAAAGUUGGCAGUCUUAAAGUUUUGUCAGAACGUUGUUACUCCACACAUGUGAAGUCGUCUCUGCAUCAGAGAUGAAAUAGCUGCUGUUUGGAGAUUUUGUAGUAACUUUUGUCUUUAUAACUGAGUACCAUUAUUUUGCAACUUUAUAAAACUCAAUGUGCUAUUCCUUUGAAUAAGGCUUAUAAUUAGCAUUCUUUGGCGAUAACUGUCAAAUUUGGUUAACACAUGCAAUCAGAGUGAUACCUUCCAACAUUUUUUUUCCAGUACUAGCAGAUGUUAAGUCUUUUUGCAUUAAAACUGUACAGGUGACAAUACGCACCCAUCUUUUCUUAAAAGGCUCAUUUGAUAAUUCUUGAAAAAUGCCAGCUCCCAAGACCAAAUCAUUAAACUUCCAUUUAUGAGGAACAAGUCUUUGAGAUGUAGGAACACCUUUAGUAUUUAUCCAGGUCAGAGGUGUGCAAACAGGAAUCUAAACCUUGGCAUGAGUAGGGCGUGAGUAGCCUGCACCUUUAUUCUUGCCAAAAAGAAAAAUAAAAGAUGAAGAAAACGUUUCAGAAACUUGCUCCUGAGAAAAGGAACACUCAGCCCAUCCAAAACAGGUAACUGCUUGUUUAAAUACCCCACUGAAAUAUAAUUCAACAAAUACUGCAUAGCCAUGUAACUCUCACACUGUCACUUAAUAGAUCUUUCUUAUUUUUUUUGUAGGGAUCGGAGUUCCAGUCCUGGAUAGCUUUCCAGUCUGGUGUUUUUCUUGCCUCUUCAUGGCCUCGUGUCUUAAGAUCAGCCUAGCUGGAUCCCCUGGUUCCUGUUUCUUCCUGUUUCAAAAUCCUGCUCUCCCCACGUUUUAAAUCCCACACCUUGUGCCAUAGACACAUACUAAGCUCCUGCUGCCUGUUUUAGUGCUCAUGGGUUUUUCUGAGACUUCGGUUGGGUUCCAGCUGAGAUUUUCCACCUGACACUGUUCUCCUCGAUUCCCAGCUGCAGUGAAGAAGGUUUCUCUUUUUGAAUGUGUCUGUCUUGGUUUUUAGGCUUCAGGGAGACUGUCCCUGUUUCUUUUCUGUUACUCUGACUCCCUGUAAGAAGAUGUUGGCGAAGAAGUUACAGGUUGUGUUGUUGUUGUUGUUGCUCUUCUCAUAAAGCAAACGCGGUAACUUUUUUUUAAAGAGAACUUGUGGGUUGUGGGGAAGGAUAAGAAUAGUGAAUGCAUCUAUCUUCUGCAGGUAAAGAAAAAAGCAAACAACACACAUACACCAACACUUCUCAGACAUGUUUAAAUUGGUGAGCUGUUUGUUCUGCCCCUUUCUGUCCUUAUUAGGAAGCGCAGUCGCAUGCCUCCAGGCUGAAUGGCCUUUUUUCUUCUGUCAAGUAAUCUCUAGUUGUGUGCACUUUGCAUAAUUCUGAGGAGUCUUUCUGUGCCAGUGCUCAGCUGUGGGAUCCCCUAUGCCCCACACCAUCAGAGGACCGCUUAUGAACAGAACAUGUCACAGACUCCGCCAUGUUUUUUCUUCUAUAAAACACUCUUCAAAAUCAUUUUUGAGAAGUUUUGGUUGUGAACGUCUUCAGUUACCCGGUCACUGCUUUGCUAAUUGAAUCUAAAUAAAUAUGAUGUGUGUGUGUAUUGCUCUCUGGCUCGAAGUAGGGCACUGGAGGAAAAAUACCGGCUUUCGUUUCUCGUGUCUUUGGAGUUCACAUCAUAGCAGUUGCAGAUCUCUCUUGAUGAUAUUCUGCAUGUGUCUGUAUGAUUUGUGUAAGUUCAGAGAGACUGCACCCCCAUGGUUAUCGUUUCCCUUGCUGUGAUUAUUAUAAUGCAACCUGGGUUUAAAAUCUUAAGACUUCUUGUUCAGCUGCAAUGCGGGAGCAUCCUGAGAUAGCACUCUGAACUGUGAUGUCUGAAUUUCUGGACAUACGAACCGUGCUCUUCCCUGUUAUUCUUCCUGUGUGAAUCCUUUGGGGAAGGGGAGAACACGCUGGGAUUUUCUUCUGCUAGUUAAGUUUGUGAUGGCAAACCAUAAGGAUAUGUCCGUUUUUGUUUUUAAAAUAAAAUGGUGAAGCAGCUUGCGUGCGCGUGUGAAGUCUUGAAAUUAAUUUAAAUCCUAUCUUAGCUUGGAAAGCAGCAUUUGUAUAACUUAGAAAUAAUUGGUGACCUCUGUUUUUAUUUUUGCAAUAUUGGAUUGACGUUACUAAUCCAUAUCAUGUGGACGCCUGAUAUUUCCAUGGCAAUUCUCAUCACAGGAGACCUCUCAGUGGUUUCAUGUUACUUUGUGUGCUUUGGUAACAGAACUUUCCAAGUAAAAUACUGGAGUAGGUUGUUGGGUUUAAAAAAAAAGAAAAAAGUAUUUAUAUUACUGGAUAAAUUGUAUUG